AGAAGAGAGUGGCCCAUUCAAUGUCCACCUGUCAGGCCACCCAGCAGCCGGCACGUUCAUAAGCCCAUGUUACAGAUGGUGCAGCCGGGUGCACAGACCUGAGGGGGGCACAGGCCUCAGCCUCCCAGCUCCCAACGCCUGCAGCACCCACAGCGGGGAGUACCCCAUGGACAGCUGGGGCUGAGGAGAAGCAAGGGAUGAGGGGGAUGGGCCUCCCCUCCACCCACCAGCCUGGGAAGGGGGUGGGCCCCUGGCAAGUAGGAGGGAAACUGAGGCUCAGAGACAUCAUGAGGAUGCCAGCUCAAGGCCCAGCCAGGCCUUGGUCCUCAGCUGCUGUCAUCCAGUAGGCUCAAACCCAGAGGCCUCCAGGGUGUCCAGCCUCCAGAGUCCCUCCUACGCAGCCUCCAUGUCCCCAUCCACUGCAGCCCCUGACCAUCAGGCGCACCGUGAGGCCUUCGAGGGCUGCCAGGCCUCAGGCUCUGCUGCACCAAGUGAUUUUGAAAGUCCCAUCUGCCUUUAUCCACUUAAAAAGAACUUGGGACACUUC